AAGGGCACCACAAGAACGCGUGGAGCAUGUGGCUUAAUUUGACUCAACGCGGGAAAUCUUACCGGGUCCGGACACACUGAGGAUUGACAGGUUCUUGUGGUUGUAAUUGACCUUUUAUUUAUAAUCGGUUCUUUUACUCCACAUUAAAUAUGCUAGUCCUUUCAUGAUUGUGUGAUAGGUGGUGCAUGGCCGUUCUUAGUUCGUGGAGUGAUCUGUCUGCUUAAUUGCGUUUCAUAUAAAAGGACUUAAUUAAUAUUGCCUUUGUUUCCUACGCUUUGUCCUGGUUAUAUGAUCGUCCGUGGCUGCAUUUGUUUUAAGCGAUUCUUUUCUUGCUUUGCUUUUUGCUAUUGCUUUGUAUUUUGCAACUUGAGUUGUUUGAAUUUCUUUCAUUAGAUCUUCACCUCUUUUGCAUUUUACUUUUUGCUUUGCAUUGUAGCUCUUAAGCGAUUAGAUUUCUGCUUUCAUUUGUAUUGCUUUCGGAUUUGUAUCUAUUUCCACUUUAAAGGGACUUUGCGUUUAGGACGGGUGAUUUAUUUUAUAAUAGUCCUGAAGGCAACGAACGUGACC
rnacentral:rRNA from 1 species